UUUGCUGAGAUUAUAUUAUAUUUUUAUAUUAUAUUAUUAUAUACAGUUUGUACCAGAGCUGAAUAAGUGCAAUACUUGGGAGGAAAAGUUAGAAGUAUUUUCUCACUUUUUAAAGGAUAUCACUGCAUUAACUGUUGAAAAUCGGAAUAUUUUAUGUUCAACAGUUUACGAUUAUAUAGUCGCUGUAAAAGUUUAUAAUAUAUCUUCGUUGCCGCGCUUAAAAUCAUCUAUAAUACUAUUAAAACCUACAUUUACGUUCUUUACUUUUUUCGAAGAGGAUUAUGGUCUACAUAAGGUUACCGAAAGUAAAGUACUAAUUUAUUAUGUGGAAGGUACUCAUAUUACAAUAAUAGACAAUGACAAAAUUGCAUCAUUUAUUAACGAAGCAUUGAAUUAAGCAUUUAUAAUAAUCAUUACAAAAUAAUUAUAUUAACUAAUUACAACAAAAUCUUUAACACACAAUAAAAUGAAAUACUUCAAGUAUAUGAAAACAUUACAUGCGAAUUUGCUUGUGUAAAAAUUUUUUUAGCAUAGGUUUUUUCAAGAAGACACUUUACACACAUAAAAUAACGAUUAAAAAAUAGAUGACACAUAUACAAAAUCAAAGUUUGAAAAUUAAGUUUAUUUGCCUACAUGUGUAUUUUACAAUAUGAAAUAAAUAAUUUUCCACAUAAA